rnacentral:lncRNA from 1 species
AUCUGGCUGCCUCCUUCCCUAGAGCUAGCUGCCCGGCUGUUUGCUUUUUUAAGUUUGUUUGUUUUUUUCAGGACAGUUUUUGUUUGUUUGUUUGUUUGUUUGUUUGCUUGUUUCUUGGUUGUCCUAAAAGUUGCUCUGUAGAUCAGGCUGACCUUGAACUCACAGAGAACCUCCUACCUUUGCCUCCUGAAUGCAGAGAUUAAUGGCAUGUGCCAUCAUCGCCUAGCUGCUUUUUUUUUUUAAAAAAAGAAAUAUUUAUUCAUUUGUUUUUUGAUGUGUAUGAGUGUUUUGUCUACAUGCAUGUAAGUGCGUCAUCUUUGCUCAGUGCCCAUGGAGGUCAGAAAAGGGAGUGUGUCCCCUACAACUGGACUUACAGACAGUUGUAAGCUGUUGUGAGAGCUGGGAAUUGAACCCUGGUCAUCUGAAGAACAGCAAUUGCUCUUAACUGUGGAGCCAUCUUUCCAGCCCUGAAUGAAGUUUUGUUUUGUUUUCUUUUGACUGUAAUAAAUGUCUUCCGCCU